rnacentral:tRNA from 3 species
GCUGGUGUAGCUCAACUGGUAGAGCAACUGAUUUGUAAUCAGUAGGUUGCGGGUUCAAGUCCCUUCACCAGCU